AACUGUUGAGUGUAUAUUUUGCUAGGUAACUACUCUUAAAUGCGGUGGAGUUUGUCUUGGAAUAGCAACUCAUCAUACUUUGACUGAUGGCACAACGGCCUUACAUUUCAUUAAUAGUUGGUCUGAAAUGGCAAGAGGCUUGCCCGAGAUUAGCAUGCCACCACUUAUUGACCGAACCCUUCUCCGAGCAAGAGUGCCACCAAUCCCUAGAUUUCAUCAUCUCGAAUAUGACCGACCUCCUUCCUUAUACACCUCUACAUCACUUGGCCCUAAUAACCAUAAACCCUUAACUGUAUCUGUUUUCAAGAUCACACAAAAUCAACUUAAUACCCUAAAAGCCAAGUCAUGGGAACAUGGAAACAAAACCAAUUGCAGCACCUUCACCAUUCUAGCUGCAUACAUAUGGCGCUGUGCAACUAAAGCUUGGGGCCUCUCAUAUGAUCAACCAACCAAGUUACACAUGCCAACUAAUGGACGCCCCAGACUACAUCCUCCCCUCCCAUCAACGUACUUGGGCAACGCAAUGUUUGCAGCUUCAUUAAUUGCUCUAUCUGGAAAUCUCCAAUCAAAACCAUUUGUAAAUACCCUAGAACGAGUUCAUGGAACAUUGCAAAGGAUGAAUAAUGAGUAUCUAAGAUCAGCUCUUGACUACCUAGAAACACUGCCAGAUAUAACAGUUGCCAGGAGAACACCGGACACUUACCAUUGCCCAAACCUAAGUAUCAACAAAUGGACACGACUGUCUUUAUAUGAUGCAGAUUUUGGAUGGGGUCGACCAAUAUACAUGGGUCCAGCAAACGUUGUCCAUGAAGGAAAAAUAUAUAUACUACCAAGUCCAACCGAUGAUGGGAGCUUGUCAUUGGUAGCAUGCCUACAGACUGCUCAUAUGAAACUCUUCGAGAAACAUCUAUACGAAGGCUUGAAGUCAUUUGACAAGAUCAAAGCUCAAUAUUAGUUGUUUGUUCUCUCUAUCAAUAUAUGUAUAAACCUAUAAAUCUUCUACUUAUGUUUCUUUAACUAAGACUUUUUGUUUGGAUCCUGUUUAUUUGAAAUUUACCAUCUAAGCUGGCCUGGCAAACAGGUCUUUUAUUGGUAAUUAUUGUACUAUACCUCGAUAAUAGUAAUAGCAUUGAUCGCAAAGAAAUAAUAAAGUAAAAUAAGAAUACACAGAUUUUACGUGGAAAAGUCUUAUUAGAAAAAAAAUCACGGGCAAAGUAAAAAUUUACUAAUGUUGAAAAGCAACAAUACAAGAAGUUUUUUUUACUACACACGUUUUAACGGUUAAAUAACAUUUUUAUAAUCAAUGUCUAAUAGAAGAUCGCUCCCACAUAUCCCCCAAAUUUGCAAUUCUAUUUUAUUUCUUUAACAAACAAGUUGCACCUCGAAUUUUUCUUGACUGGAUCAAACGGGGUUCAAAUCAAACAGCUCUGACAACACCUCAAAUUAUUUGUCCAUAACCAAUUAAAACAAAUACCGAAUAAUUGAAAUAUAUUCAAAAUUUUAAAUUAAAUUAAGUUUGGAUCAAACUCACUGAUGAUAUAUGAUUUACCUAAAGUGAAAUAAGAACUCGAAAAUACAAAAUUUAUGGGUAAAUUUUCUUUUUGGUCACUUAAUUAAAAAAUUAUAAUUUGGUUAUUAAACUAUUCAAAAGUUUUAUUUUAAGUCAUUGGAUUGUUAAAAUUUAUAUUAUACAACUUUCUCUAUUCGCAGUGCAUGCAUCAAUUGAAAGCUCUCUUUUUCCUUCAUUUUUACAGUUCAUUUUCUAUUUUUAUGUAACAACUUUGGACGUCAUAAAUCUGUAGACCAAAAUUUAAACAUUUUUUGCUCUGAUUUCCAACAUCGACCAUCAAAUCAAUUUAGAUCUAAAGUAUAUUUUUCUACUCAUUAAUGGAAUAAUGGGUAUCGAUCCAUCGUAUCGAUUGUUGAACCCUUACUUGGAGCUCGUUAGUGGAACUUAAAAAACAACUUAAUAGCCUAGUGACUUAAAUGAAAAUUUUCAAAUUUAGUGACCAAACCAAAAACUUUCCCAUAAUUUAAUGACUAAUGGUGUAGUUUACGCACUUCCUCUUGGCCCAAUUGAAGUUUUUGGUACUCCCAAACACUAGUAAAAAAGUUUUAAUAGUAGAAUGUAUGAAAUUUUUAAUAGAAAGUAACAUUUUACUUUUUGAUCUAUAUACAGAGACUAAUGUGCCAAUUUUUUAAAAUAAAUAUGACAAAAUGCAAUUUGACUUUUAAUAUAAAAAUCUCCAUGGUGCGUUUACCUUGAAAUUAUCAAUAAAAACUAAUAAAUAUAAAAUGAAACAGUUAAGAAUAUAUCAAAUAUUCACGAGGUGAUAGGCGCUUUUAAAAUUUAACAUUUACAACUUAAUGGGCUAGUGACAAGGCCAAGCAAACCAUUAGUGGAUUGGUAACAAAUUUGGUAAUAUUUUAACGAUCCAAUUGUUAAAUAUAUCGAUAUAACUGUAUUUGGUAUGAAUGUAAAAUUUCGAACCGAUCCGAUAUUUCUGACAUAUUGAUCUAAAAUAUUGCAUAUAUUAAACUAUUAAAUUUUUUUAUAUAAAAUAAAUAGUUAGUUUUUUUUUUAAUUUACAUCAAAUUUGACAUGCACAAUCUAUUUGAAUAGAAUAUGAAAUAUGAUAAUUGAAUCAUUAAAAUAUUAAUUGUAUAAAAAAUAAAAUACAUAUUUUAAAUUUAAUAUAAAAAUGUUUAAAAAACACUAAAAUAAAUUAAUAAAAUUCUCAAUGACUUUUGGGUUUAAAUCAAAAUUAUCGAAACUGGAUUAGAUCAAAUCGAAAAUUAAUUAAGGUAUGAGUUUGGAAUAAGAGGAUUAAUUAUCUCACAAAUUGGUUAAAUCGACAAAUCAGAUCAAUUUUUUUUCAAUUUUUAAUUUUUUAAUAAUUUAUUUAAUUAAAUUAAUAAAAUCAAUCAAAUCAGAAUUAGAAUCUAAUUCUAAACACUUUGUUUUGUUAUGUCAAAGCCACAUGUUUUUUUACACCUUAUUUAUUCUGCAAAUUACUGUCCGCACGUGUCAACUCUUUAUCAUCUUUUAAUGACGUGUACGGUAUAGAUAGCCUGUCUUCAAUUUUUUUAUUUGCCAAAUUCUGUUAUUAGUCCCUGUAUUAUAAGUAGUUUGCGAAUUUAAUCUCUAUAUUAAAAAAAUAGUCAAUUUUAGUUCUUAUACUUUUUAGCAUCUAAAAUUUUAAUCAUCCACAAGGAGUAGUAAUUAAAUAUGUUUGUUAAUUUAGGUCCUUAAUCUUUUACACAGUAUAAAGUUAUUCUACGUUCUCUAAUUUGAUCAUUCAUAAUCCUUAUAUUUUUUGAAUUUUUAAAUUUUAAUAAGCUGACAUAAUAUUACAUAUAUGAUAAUAUUUUUGACACAUAAGAUUUUGAACAUAAUAAAACAUAAUGAAUUUAAUGGUUAUCGUUUAGAUCAGGAUUGAAAUUUUAAAAUUAGAAAAAUAUAUGGACUAAAAUGAUUAAAUUAAAGUACAUACACUAAAUUUACAACUUUCCCAUUGCACAAGUACUAAUAGCAGGAUUUACCCUAUUUUUACAUUUAAAUAUGUAAAAAUAUCACCCAUCCACUGCCUCCCAACAGAGAAGAUAGGCUUUUUUUUUUUUGCAAUAAAAGAAUUAAUAAUUACUUGAUAAAUUAUUUUAUGGACAUUUUUUGUCAUAUCAUCCAUGAUCCCGUCCAAUUAGAAGAGAACGCGUCAUCUUUUUUUCCACAUCAUAUAUACAUUUAGACUAAACUUCCAAAUAAAAGAUGACGUGUCGUGUUUUAAUUGGGAGGAACUAUGGAUGAUGGGGUGAAAAAUGUCCAUAAAAUAAUUUCUCAUUAUUACCUUAUCUUCGAACACAAAAACACAAGCAUUAGCAAACAGAUUUCGCCCAUCUGCUACCUCCCAAUCGAGAAGAUAGGUUUUUUUUCUGAGUAACUCAAUUUUUUUGAUUAAUUAUGAACAUAAUUAACUUAAAAAUUAUGUCCGUAAAUGAUUUGAUUUUUACAGUGCUUGUCGAUGUUGCCAGACACACCGACGGCACCAGGCCCAUCAUCGACCAAUAAUUAUAUUAUUUUAAACAUUUUCAAUUCAUUCCUUAGCAUAUUUAAAUUUAUAUAAAUUGAGAUAAUUUUUUGAAGGAUAUAUUUGGGUAAUUUAAAUAAGACUUUUAACUUUAUUGUUUCUAAAAAAAUAAAAAAUUAUUUUUAUUAUUCUUAUAUUUUUAAGGACUAUUUAAAUAUAAUUUUAAAAAUAGAUAUACUUAACACGCAAAUAAAUAAAAAAUUAAAAAGCAUCAAAUUUGGUGCCGACAUGGUGCACCCUUUUUCUGCAAACUAAAAAGUUAUUAUUUUCUAGGUAAGGAAUAGUCUGUUUUAUUUACCUCAUAUUAUAUUUUAGUUAUUUAUAUUUAAAAUGUUAUUUUUAAGUGGUCACUCCACUGUUAAAUUUCGUUACCUCUCUAACGGUAAUUUUAUGUGACAGUUAGACCUGUCCAUGGGCCGGGCGGCUCAGCCUGGCCCGAAGGCCUGCCCGAAAUAUGGGAGGGUUCGGGUAAAAAUAUAGGCCCGAAAUAUGGGCUUGGGCAAAAAAAUGAGGCCCGUUUAAAAAAUGGGCCGGGCUUGGGCUCAACUUUUUUGGCCCGGGCCCGGCCCGGCCCGAAUAUAAUAAAUAUAUUUUUUAUUUUUAUUUUUUAAUUUUAAAAUACGUUAAAAAUAUUUUUUUUAUUUUUAUUUUUUUAUUUUUAAAAUAUUUUUUUGUGUUUAUUAAAAAUCGGGCCGGGCCCGGGCUUAUUAUUUUUUUCUCGGGCCGGGCCUGAGAAAAAUUUUAGGCCCAUAUUUCGGGCAGGGCCUAAGAGUCGGGCCGAAUUUUUUCCCGGGCCCAGCCCGGCCCAUGGACAGGUCUAGUGACAGUACAAAUGGGUUUUAAAUGCCAACUACGAUGCCCAAUUAUUAUGACAAAAAUAGGUUUUUAAUUAAAUAAAUUUAAUUUAGACUGCCACGUAGGACCGUCAUUAGGGAGGUAAGAGAGCUUAAUGAUAGAGUGAUCAAUUCGUAACAGAACGAUAACAUUAGUGACUAAAACGUAACAUUUCAAACUUAAGCGACUGUUUUAUAGUUUACCCUUAAUGUAAUUAUUGGCGGAUGAUCUGGCCGCACCGACAAACAGCAGAAAUUGAGUCAUUUUCGUAAUUAUUUACAAAAUUUGGGUUACUUUUCUAAAAAAACCAGAGAAGAGAACCUCGCCUCUGCUUAAGAUAGCCGGACACUUUCUAACUUUCCCUUCUUUCAGUUUUUCAUCAACAGGUUUGCCUCUUACCAGAACAUCAAUGGAUGUUAGUGUAAAGAGAUGGAGCAUGAUACGCCCUGCUCAAGAUACUCCUAAAGAAAGGCAAUGGAUUUCAAAUCUGGACAUGGUGAUAACAACAUACCAUGUCCCUUUGCUGUUUUUCUACAAACCAAAUGGCUCCUCUGAUUUCUUUAAGCCUCAAGUGCUACAGGAGGCUUUAAGCAAGACUCUUGUGCAAUUCUAUCCUAUGGCUGGGAGGUUGGGACGUGAUGAAAAUGGUAGGCUCGAGAUAGUAUGCAACGCAGAGGGUGUUCUGUGGAUAGAAGCUGAAACUACAUCGGCCAUGGAUGAUCUCGACGGUUUUACUCCCUGCUCAAAACUGAGGAAACUGGUUCCCACGGCUGAUUACUCUGGAGAUAUCAGUUCUUAUCCGCUUAUUAUGGCUCAGGUAAGUGAAUGAAGAACUAUUAGCUUAUUAUAGAUGAUAACUGUUACUUGCAGUAGGAGACCAAGGAUAAGCUCUGAGAAAACUCAAACAGUCUGAUACUGAAGUUAUAGCACAAGAAAAACUAAGCUAUCAGCUAAGAAGUUGAUAUAUGGCUUUUUUUUUUCUAAACUGACUUAAAAGAAUCGAUUAAUUAUGAAAAUUACCCAGGUAUAAUAUCUUAUAUGAGAAUGACCCGUUUUCUACCGUAAAAAUUGGUACCGCUAGACUAUUUAGCGGUACCGAUAUUUUUGUAAAAGUAUUACCAUCAACAAAUUAUCGAUAUAUACUUUCCAUUCAUCUUCACAAGAAAGUGCUAAUUACGGAGGUCCAUGGUGGUGGCUUAGUAGUGAUGAAGAUGAAACCAAAACCCUUUUCUCUUCAAUGAACCUCUGGUUUGACUCAUUUGUAAUAAUUAUUUUCGCUCGUUGGAUACAACCGCAUUUUAAAUGGAAAACUGUAAUAAUCCUCACAGAAGAAAAGCAAAGAACAAGAUUAAUCAAAGCGAACAAUAUUGUUACAAAUGAGUUAGGCGAGAGGUUCAUUGAAGAGAAAAGGGUUUCGAUUUCAUCUUCUUCACUGCUAAGCCACUGCCAUGGAACUCUUAGACCUUUCUCAUGAAGCUAAACGAUACCAUCAACAAAGUGUAUCCUUUUUACAAAACUAACAUCGGUGCCAACAAUGAGUCCGGCAACAUUCAAAAAAUAUAUAUUUUUAAAAAACAUGGGGUGGUGCUUCAAUGGAAAUGGUGGCACCAAAUUUUAUGAUAGAAAAUGGGUUAUUCUCGUACAAAAUUUUACACUUGAGUCAUUUUUAUAAUUAAUAAAAUUUUUUGGUCAAUUUUGAAAAAAAAAACCUUAAUGUUUUUGUUUCGAAAAGGUCAAUUGUUGAGUGUAUAUUUUGCUAGGUAACUACUCUUAAAUGCGGUGGAGUUUGUCUUGGAAUAGCAACUCAUCAUACUUUGACUGAUGGCACAAUGACCUUACAUUUCAUUAAUAGUUGGUCUGAAAUGGCAAGAGGCUUGCCCCAAAUUAGCAUGCCACCAGUUAUUGACCGAACCCUUCUUCGAGCAAGAGUGCCACCAAUCCCUAGAUUUCAUCAUCUCGAAUAUGACCGACCUCCUUCCUUAUACACCUCUACGUCACUUGGCCCUAAUAACCAUAAACCCUCAACUGUAUAUGUUUUCAAGAUCACACAAAAUCAACUUAAUACCCUAAAAGCCAAGUCAUGGGAACAUGGAAACAAAACCAAUUACAGCACCUACACCAUUCUAGUUGCAUACAUAUGGCGCUGUGCAACUAAAGCUUGGGACCUCUCAUAUGAUCAGCCAACCAAGUUACACAUGCCAACUGAUGGACGCCCCAGACUACAUCCUCCCCUCCCAUCAACGUACUUGGGUAACGCAAUGUUUGCGGCUUCAUUAAUUGCUCUAUCUGGAAAUCUGCAAUCAGAACCGUUUGUAAAUACCCUAGAACGAGUUCAUGGAACAUUGCAAAGGAUGAAUAAUGAGUAUCUAAGAUCAGCUCUUGACUACCUAGAAACACUGCCAGAUAUAACAGUUGCCAGGAGAACACCGGACACUUACCAUUGCCCAAACCUAAGUAUCAACAAAUGGACACGACUGUCUUUAUAUGAUGCAGAUUUUGGAUGGGGUCGACCAAUAUACAUGGGUCCAGCAAACGUUGUCCAUGAAGGAAAAAUAUACAUACUACCAAGUCCAACCAAUGAUGGGAGCUUGUCACUGGUAGCAUGCCUACAGACUGCUCAUAUGAAACUCUUUGAGAAACAUCUAUACGAAGGCUUGAAGUCAUUUGACAAGAUCAAAGCUCGAUAUUAGUUGUUUGUUCUCUCUAACAAUAUAUGUAUAAACCUAUAAAUCUUCUACUUCUGUUUCUUUAACUAAGACUUUUUGUUUGGAUCCUGUUUAUUUGAAAUUUACCAUCUAAGCUGGCUUGGCGAACAGGUCUUUUAUUGGUAAUUAUUGUACUAUACCUCGAUAAUAGUAGUAUCAUUGAUCGCAAAGAAAUAAUAAAGAAAAAUAAGAAUAUACAGAUUUUACGUGGAAAAGUCUUACUAGGAAAAAAAAUCACGAGCAGAGUAAAAAUUCACUAAUGUUGAAAAAUACUAAUACAAGAAGUUUUUUUGACUACACACAUUUUAACGGUUAAAUAACAUUUUUAUAAUCAACGUUUAAUAGAAGAUCGCCCCCACAUAUCCCCCAAAUUUGCAAUUCUAUUUUAUUUCUUUAACAAACAAGUUGCACCUCGAAUUUUUCUGAUUGGAUCAAACGGGGUUCAGAUCAAACAGCUCUAACAACAACUCAAAUUAUUUGUCCAUAACCAUAUUAAAACAAAUACCGAAUAAUUGAAAUAUAUUCAAAAUUUUAAAUUAAAUUAAGUUUGGAUCAAACUCACUGAUGAUAUAUGAUUUACCUAAAGUGAAAUAAGAACUCGAAAAUACAAAUUUUAUGGGUAAAUUUUCAUUUUGGUCACUUAAUUAAAAAAUUAUAAUUUGGUUAUUAAACUAUUCAAAAGUUUUAUUUUAAGUCAUUGGAUUGUUAAAAUUGAUAUUAUAUGACUUUCUCUGUUCACAGUGCAUGCAUCAAUUGAAAGCUCUCUUUUUCCUUCAUUUCUACAGCUCAUUUUCUAUUUUUAUGUAACAACUUUGGACGUCACAAAUUUGCAGACCAAAAUUCAAACAUUUUUUGCUCUGAUUUCCAACAUGGACCAUCAAAUCAAUUUAGAUCUAAAUUAUAUUUUUAUACUCAUUAAUGGGUACUGAUCCACCAUAUCGAUUGUUGAAUCCUUACUUGGAGCUCGUUAAUGGAACUUAAAAAACAACUUAAUAUAUAGCCUAGUGACUUAAAUGAAAAUUUUUGAAUUUAGUGGCCAAACCAAAAACUUUCCUAUAAUUUAAUGAUUAAUGGUGUAGUUUACGCACUUCCUCUUGGCCCAAUUAAAGUUUUUGGUACUCCCACACACUAGUAAAAAAGUUUUAAUAGUAGAAAUGUAUGAAAUUUUUAAUAGAAAGUACCAUUUUACUUUUUGAUCUAUAUACAGAGACUAAUUUGCCAAUUUUUUAAAUAAAUGGGGUAAAAUGUAAUUUGACUUUUAAUAUAAAAAUCUCCAUGGUAUGUUUACCUUGAAAUUAUCAAUAAAAACUAAUAAAUAUAAAAUGAAACAGUUAAUAAUAUAUCAAAUAUCCACGAGGUGAUAGGUGAUUUUAAAAUUUAACAUUUACAACUUAAUGGGCUAGUGACAAGGCCAAGCAAACCAUUAGUGGAUUGGUAACAAAUUUGGUAAUAUUUCAACGAUCCAAUUGUUUAAUAUAUCGAUAUAACUGUAUUUGGUAUGCAUGUAAAUUUUUGAACCGAUCCGAUAUUUCUGACAUAUUGAUCCAAAAUAUUGUAUAUAUUGAACUAUUAAAAGUUUUUUAUAUAAAAUAAAUAGUUAGUUUUUUUUUUAAUUUACAUCAAAUUUGACAUGCAUAAUCUAUUUGAAUAGAAUAUGAAAUAUGACAAUUGAAUCAUUAAAAUAUGGGUAAACUACACCCAUGGUCACUUUUGUUUACCUUAGGUUACAUUUCAGUCACUUAUGUUUGAAAUGUUACAUUUUAGUCACUUACGUUAUCGUGUUGUAACAUUUUAGUCACUGAGCCGUUAAUUGCCGUUAAUGGUGUAAUGGUAAGCUGACGUGGCACGUUAAAUCAUCAUUUCAAACAAAAACUUUAGGUUAAAUUAUAAAAAAAAUUAAAUUACUAAAAACGAAAAAAAUAUGGGGAUCAAUUAUAUAAUUUAACCUAAAAUUUUGUUUGAAAUGAUGAUUUAACGUGCCACGUCAGCUUACCGUUACACCAUUAACGACGAUUAAUGGCUCAGUGACUAAAAUGUUACAACUUGAUAACGUAAAUGACUAAAACGUAACAUUUCAAACAUAAGUGACUUAAACGUAACCUAAAGUAAACAAAAGUGACCAUGAGUGUAGUUUACCCUUAAAAUAUUAAUCGUAUAAAAAAAUAAAAUACAUAUUUUAAAUUUAAUAUAAAAAUGUUUAAAAAACACUAAAAUAAAUUAAUAAAAUUCUCAAUGACUUUUGGGUUUAAAUCACAAUUAUCGAAACAGGACAAAUCGAAAAUUAAUUAAUGUAUAAAUUUGGAAUAAGAGGAUUAAUUAUCUCACAAAUUGGUUAAAUCAACCAAUCAGAUAAUUUUUUUCAUUUUUAAAUUUUUUAAUAAUUUAUUUAAUUAAAUUAAUCAAAUCAAUCAAAUCGGAAUUAGAAUCUAAUUCUAAACACUUUGCUUUGUUAUGUCAAAGCUAUAUGUUUUUUUUACACCUUAUUUAUUCUGCAAAUUAUUGUCCGCACAUGUCAACUCUUUAUCAGCUUUUAAUGACGUGUACGGUAUAGAUAGCCUAUCUUCAAUUUUUUUUAUUUGCCAAAUUCUUUUAUUAUUCCUUGUAUUAUAAUUAGUUUGUGAAUUUAAUCUCUAUAUUAAAAUAAAAUGUCAAUUUUAGUCCUUAUACUUUUUAGCAUUUAAAAUUUUAAUCCUCCACAAAGAGUAGUAAUUAAAUAUGUUUGUUAAUUUAUGUCGUUAAUCUUGUACACAGUAUAAAGUUAUUCCACGUUCUCUAAUUUGAUCAUUCAUAAUCCUUAUAUUUUUUGAAUUUUUAAAUUUUAACAAGCUGAUAUAAUAUUACAUAUAUGAUAAUAUUUUUGACGUAUAAGAUUUUGAAAAUAAUAAAACUACUUAAUGAAUUUAAUGAUUAUCGUUUAUAUCAAUAUUGAAAUUUUAAAAUUAGAAAAAUAUACGGACUAAAAUGAUUAAAUUAAAGUACAUAGACUAAAUUUACAACUUGCCCAUUGCAUAAGUACUAAUAGCAGGAUUUAACCUAUUUUUACAUUUAAAUAUGUAAAAAUAUCACCCAUCCACUGCCUUCCAACAGAGAAGAUAAGUUUUUUUUUUUUAGCAAUAAAAGAAAUAAUAAUUACCUGAUAAAUUAUUUUAUGGAAAUUUUUCACCAUAUCUUCCAUGAUCCCGUCCAAGUAGACGAUGACACAUCAUCGUUUUUUUCCACAUCAUAUGUACAUUUAAACUAAACUUCUAAAUCAAAGAUGACAUGUCUUGUUUUAAUUGGUAGAAACUGUGGAUGGUCGGGUGGAAAAUGCCCAUAAAAUAAUUUCUCAUUAUUACCUUGUCUUCGAACACAAACACACAAGCAUUAGCAAACAGAUUUCGCCCAUCCGCUACCUCCCAAUAGACAAGAUAGGUUAUUUUUAAUUAACUCAAUUUUUUUGAUUAAUUACGAAAAUAAUCAACUUAAAAAUUACGUACGUAAAUGAUUUGAUUUUUACAGUGCUUGUCGAUGCUGCCAGACACAUCGGCGGCACCGGUCUCAUCAUCGACCAAUAAUUGUAUUAUUUUAAACAUUUUCAGUUCAUUCCCUAGCAUAUUUAAAUUUAUAUAAAUUGAGAUAAUUUUUUGAAGGAUAUAUUUGGGUAAUUUAAAUAAGACUUUUAACUUUAUUGUUUCUAAAAAAAUAAAAAGAAUUUAUUUUUGUUAUUCUUAUAUUUUUAAGGGCUAUUUAAAUAUAAUUUUAAAAAUAGAUAUACUUAACACGCAAAUAAAUAAAAAAAUUGAAAAGCAUCAAAUUUGGUGCCGACAUGGUGCACUAAAAAGUUAUUAUUUUCUGGGUAAAUUAUAGCAAUAGUCACUUUUAUUUACCUCAUAUUAUAUUUUAGUUAUUUAUGUUUAAAAUAUUACAUUUUAGUCACUUACAUUAUCAUUUUGUUAUUAAGUGAUCACUCCACCGUUAAACUUCGUUACUUCUCUAACGGUAGUCCUAUGUGACAGUACAAAUUGAUUUUAAAUGCCAACUGGCAACUAUGAUGUCCAAUUGUUGGGACAAAAAUAGGUUUUUAAUUAAAUAAAUUUAAUUUGGACUGCCACGUAGGACCGUCAUUAGGAAGGUAAGAGAGCUUAAUGAUAAAGUGACCAAUUCGUAAUAAAACGAUAAUAUAAGUGACUAAAACGUAAUAUUUUAAACUUAGGUGAAUAAAAUAUAAUCUGAAGCAAAUAAAAGUGACUGGUUUAUAGUUUAUCCAUAAUGUAAUUAUUGGCGGAUGAUCUGGCCGCACCGACAAACAGUACAAAUUGAGUCAUUUUCGUAAUUAUUCACAAAAUUUGGGUUACUUUAAUAAAAACCCGAGAAGAGAACCUCGCCUUUGCUUAAGAUAGACGGGCACUUUCUGACCUUCCCUUCUGUUGGUUUUUCAUCAGCAAGUUUGCCUCUGAUGGGUUGUCGAAUCCACCAAUGUAAACCUACGCCUAACUUGCAAAUUAAGCAGUAUAGGGAGUAGGGUCGAUCCCUCAGAGACUGGGUUUACUGCAAAUUGUUCCUCUCUUGACCAGAUUUUUGUCAGGGCAGUUGUCGUGCCCAAGAAAUUCAGAGGGAUAAAAUCUGAAACCUGAAAUAAAUAAAUAAAAAGCGUAAAAAGUAAAAGUUGAAGACAGAAUAAUAAAAACAGUGAAAUAAAUAUGAAGAAAAAUUAAUUAGAAUAAGCUCAGCUUUAGGCACGAAUUUUCCUCGUCUUUGAACCGAUCCUCGAAAUUGGAUGAACUCCUCUUUUCCAAUAACUAGUUAUAGCUACCAAGGACGCCUCGGGCACCAACUCUUCCUUGUGUAAAUUAGUUAUGGAACAUCCAAUAACUAACCUUUACCAAUCGAACAACCACGAAACAUUCGUGAUUUAGAACUCCGACAGCUUUGCGUUCUAGAAGAGCCUAGCUCGAACCAAUGCCCUCAACCGCGUGGGACAUUUAAAUCCGGUUACUACUUCCCUUGACGGAACCAAAUAGCAAUCUCCACGGGCACGCCACUGUGUUCACAGAAAACCAAAUAGAAACGUUCCUUUCGGAAUUCCAACUGUACGUCUAAUCACACUAAAUCAAACGACGUCUUUUUUUGACUUAGUGCUGGUCUGACUUUAUGAGUUGACAAAAUCAUACUCUUAAUCCAGAGAAGUAAUAAGUACUAGAAUUUUAGGAGUUAAAUGGCUCGGGUUCGUAACUCACGGGUUUUGACGAUGCUAAUUUCGGCCUAAAGCUGAAAAUGGUUUUAGUUGGCUAAGGUUUGGGGCACGUUGGUAUUAGAAUAAUUAAAUAAGAUUGAAUAAAUGAAAAAAAAAAAUGAAAGUGAGUGGUGAAGGUUAUGCAAGGUUGGAAAUUAAUUGCUAACAAAAAACAGGAAAGAAAAGAUUGAAUUGCAAGAGAUAAAAGCUUAAUUUAAAAACGAAAUGAUUAAAAACUUGAUGGAAAAUUUUAUGAAAAGACUUGAUGAAAAACUUUAAAAAGAACUUGCUGCAAAACUUGAUAAAAAAACUUGGUAAUUAAAAACUUGAUAAAAGAACUAGAUGAAAAAUACUUGAAGAAUGAAAAACACUUAAUGAAAGACUCAAUUGAAAGCUUGAUUCAUGAAUUGAUGAAUUGAUAAACAAUGUAGCCUCUAUUUAUACUAGUAGCUUUACUAAAUUAGGAGCCAACUAGUAUAGAAAAUCAAGGAAAAUAUUCCAUAAUAUAAAAAAUAUCCCAAAAUAAUCUCCCACUAAGUCAACAAUUUCAGCUAAUUAUUCUUGGAAAAAUUCUACUUUGGCCCUCGUUCUUUGCUUCUUUCNNNNNNNNNNNNNNNNNNNNNNNNNNNNNNNNNNNNNNNNNNNNNNNNNNNNNNNNNNNNNNNNNNNNNNNNNNNNNNNNNNNNNNNNNNNNNNNNNNNNNNNNUUAACCAAUUUAAUUACAUAAAAUAUGUAACUUUAGCAUUUAAUCAAAUCCCCCUACUUAGCUUAUUCUAGUCCUCGAGCAUUUUGUAUGUAUCUGCAAAAGGAAAAAUUUUCUCCAAAAUAGGACUUGGCCCUCAUGGUUUGCACAAUUCAACAAUUUAAUCCUAGCACACUAACAUCUCAAAUAACCUAGCCUAAGAAGUAAGUAAAUAUAUUUCAGAAUUUAUUAGAGCUUGAUAGACUUACCUUUCAUUUUAUUAUUUUUUGUGCUUAGGACAUUUUCGAAUUUUUUGACGCGAGACAUGAUGACAACCCAAGCACCAUGUUCCGGUUACUCAAUUCGGAUGUCUCUAAGCGGGUUAUUUCGCCCUACUCAUGAUAACUUGUUAGCGGAGUGAGUGCAAAGAAAUUGGACAGCUACACGAACCUUUUUACGCGAGAUGUGAUGACAACCCAAGCACCAUAUUCCGGUUACUUAGUCCAGUGUACAACCUCAAUUUUCACUCUUAACAUUCGUAUCAGAGGAGUAUUAUUAUUCAUUUUUUCUUUUUUUUCUUUUCUUUUUUUUUUUGAAAGAUAAAAUAGGUAGUCAAGCAAACUCAUAAUUCCCAAAAAUUUCUUACCCACUAAGUCUAGGUUAUUGAAAAGUUGUAUGUGUAAAGAACUAGAUAGCUAAAUAGGUCAAACCAUAAGUGUACCAUCCCAAUUUAUCAAAAGAAAAAUUUUACCUUUCACGAAAAACAUGCAAAAAUAGCGACAACAGAUAAGUAAAUUAGAACCAAUUUAUAUUUCCAUCCCCCCUACUUAUUUUACAUUGUCCCAAUGUAAUUCAAAGAAUAAAAGUAAAGAUAAGUAGGAGAAAGAGAGAAAAAGAAACUCUCCAUGUAUUUCAACGUCGUGGAGGGUGGUCUCGUAGGUAGAGUGGGCCUUGGCUGAAAUAAAAAGAAUUUUGUGGGUUGACAUGUGGAAUUUAAUUUUGUCUUGGAAUGUUUUCCUGUAAAAAUAAAAAUGAAAAUAAAAUAAAAUAGAAAAAAUAAAUAAUAAUAAUAAUAAUAGGAAAAUUUUAAAAAAUUCAAAUUUAUUAGCUAAGCUAUAAACUCGAAAAAUAAAUUAUUAAAAACCAAGAUUACGAGAUUUGGUAAAACAGUCGUGAUAAAUGCACCAAGUAAGUUCCCAGGAAAGAGAGGUGAGCCACAAUGGACAUACUUAAGUACCAAGUCUUUCCCUAGACAGAACUAAUCCUUGACAUGCAUUUUCAUUUUCUAUUUUACCAAAAAUUUUAUUUGCAUAAAGGAAAAGAAAAUUUGGGUUGCCUCCCAACAGCACUUUGUUUAACGUCGUUUAGCUCGACGACCUGUGUUAUUCAAAUUCUUUAUCUUUUUGUAAUAGACUGCAAAGCGGUUGCAUGAUCUUCGAGAAGUCUUUUAUGAAUUGUCUGUAAAAUCCGUACACCGUGAAAUCAUUCAUGAAGACUUCAAUGAUUUUCUCAACAUAAUCGGAAAAUAUGCUCACCAUGCAUUUCUGGAAAGUGGUCGGAGCAUUACAGAGUCCAAACGACAUUCGUCUAUACGUAAACAUUCUGGAAGGGCACGUGAAAGUUGUUUUGUCUUGAUCCUCUGCCUCCCUCAAUGUUUCGAGGAUUUCUUUUUCCUCUUUCGCUUUCUUAUCCUUUGCGAGCCUCUCUGGAAAAAGAGGUGGCAUCAAGAAUGGUUUCUGAAUUUCUGAUUCCGGUCUGACUUUUGGAUCAGAGAUCUGCUUUUCCCGUUCAUUGCCUUACCCAUAACUUUUGUCUGGAACUGUUUCCAGAAUCUUUGCGCUACAAAGAGUUAUUGCACUUACAUUCUGCCUAGGAUUCAGCUCUGUUUGGGAAGGUAAUUUACCUUGAGAUUCCAAACGAUUAACUGCCAUCGAGAGUUUACUAACUUGAUUAGUUAACUCUUAUAUUGAUGCGUCUGUCCUCUUUUGAUAUUUUGCAGCAUUGAAAGCAAGUCUUUCCACAAGAGCGUCUAGAGAUGUGCUUGACUUGGGUUGUUAUUGUGGUGGUUACAAAUGUCUCGGUUGGUAUGAUGGAUUAUAUCGGGGAUUAGCUCCGUAAUUCAAGUUGGGAUGAUCCUUCCACCCGGGAUUGUAAGUGUUGAAGAAAGGAUCAUAACGUCUUUGUGGAGGUUCUGAAAAACCUCCGAUAGCAUCAACAUGUGCCUUUGAAUUUUCGUUAAGGAUUGGGCACAAAUCUGUCGAAUGUUCAGAUAUAGUACAAAUUCCACACGGUUGGGUCCGAUUCUUCUUUUCUGUAAGCAUAGAUUGAACAAUAUUAGUAAGCUUAUCCAAUUUAUCUUCUAAGGAUGAAACGUUUACCCAAUUAACCCGUCUUGUGGGUUCUGAAUCCGGCCGAUACUGUUGAGAAUUUGUCGCCAUGGUGGAUAUUAGUUCUCUUGCCCUUUGAGGAGUCAUAUUGACAAGCGCCCCUCCACUAACAGCGUCAAUCAUCUUCAUUUCCAUAGGGAGCAAACCCUCGUAGAAAUAUUGAAAAAGUGAUUGCACGGUCAAACUGUGUUGAGGACAACUUGCACACAGUUUUUUAUACCGCUCCCAAUAGUCGUAGAGCGAUUUACUCUCCAUUUGGCGAAUUCCCACUAUGUCUCUCCUUAGUUCAGCUACUUGCGAUGUUGGGAAAAAUCUGUCAAGAAAAACACGAGAUAAGUCAUCCCACGUUGUAAUAGAACCAGGGGGUAAGUAAAAUAACCAUUCUUUUGCUGUAUCAACUAAAGAAAAAAGAAAGGCCCGAAGUUUAAUUUUAUCUUCGGUUACUCCCUGUGGUUUCAAGCUUGAGCAGACCAUGUGGAAUUCUCUCAAGUGAGUGUGUGGAUUUUCAUUCUUCAAGCCUUGAAAAGUGAGCAAAAGGUGAAUUAGGACUGACUUUAACUCGAACGAGGUUUUUCCGACUGGAUAGUUGAUGCAUAACGGUGUUUGCUCGUUGGGAGCAGUGGCUAGUUGACGAAUGGUUCGGUUCACCAUCCUUUCUAGUUCACCGAGGUUGUCUUCUGCUUCUUUUAUUUUAGGAAGUGAUUUGGUCUCAGGUUCAACCACUUCAACUUUUUUUCCACGUUGAAUUGCUUCUACACGUUUAAGAACUUCUGUCUCUUUACGUCGUGCUCGUGCUGAUUUUUUGAUCUCUGGGUCGUAUUCGAGAUCUCCGGAGGAAGAUCUGGUCAUGAAAAUAAUCUAAACAAUUGUAAGUGUUGCCAGUCCCCGGCAACGGUGCCAAAACUGAUGGGUUGUCGAAUCCACCAAUAUAAACCUACGCCUAACUUACAAAUUAAACAGUAUAGGGAGUAGGGUCUAUCCCUCAGAGACUGGGUUUACUGCAAAUUAUUCCUCUCUUGACCAGAUUUUUGUCGGGGCAGUUGUCGUGCCCAAGAAAUUCGGGGGGAUAAAAUUUGAAACCUGAAAUAAAUAAAUAAAAGCGUAAAAAGUAAAAGUUGAAGAUAGAAUAAUAAAAACAGUGAAAUAAAUAUGAAGAAAAAUUAAUUAGAAUAAGCUCAGCUUUAGGCAUGAAUUUUCCUCAUCUUUAAACCGAUCCUCGAAAUUGGAUGAACUCAUCUUUUCCAAUAAGCUAGUUAUAGCUACCAAGGACGCCUCAGACACCAACUCUUCCUUGUGUAAAUUAGUUAUGGAACGUCCAAUAACUAACCCUUACAGGUCGAAUAACCACAAAACGUUCGUGAUUUAGAACUCCGGUAGCUUUGCGUUCUAGAAGAGCCUAGCUCGAACCAAUGCCCUCAACCGCGUGGGACAUUUAAAUCCGGUUACUACUUCCCUUGAUGGAACCAAAUAGCAAUCUCCACUUGGCACACCAAUGUGUUCACAGAAAAACGAUUAGAAACGUUCCUUUCAGAAUUCCAACUGUACGUCUAAUCACACAAAAUCAAACGACAUCUUUUUUUGACUUAGUACUGAUCUGAUUUUGUGAGUUGACAAAAUCAUACUCUUAAUCCGGAGAAGUAAUAAGUACUGGAAUUUUAGGAGUUAAAUGGCUCGGGUUCGUAACUCACGGGUUUUGACAAGGCUAAUUUCGGCCUAAAGCUGAAAAUGGGUUUAGUUGGCUAAGGUUUGGGGCAUGUUGGUAUUGGAAUAAUUAAAUAAGAUUGAAUAAAUGAAAAAAAAUGAAAGUGAGUGGUGAAGGUUAUGCAAGGUUGGAAAUUAAUUGCUGACAAAAAACAGGAAAGAAAAGAUUGAAUUGCAAGAGAUAAAAGCUUAAUUUAAAAACGAAAUGAUUAAAAACUUGAUGGAAAAUUUUAUAAAAAGAUUUGAUGAAAAACUUUAAAAAGAACUUACUGCAAAACUUGAUAAAAAACUUGGUAAUUAAAAACUUGAUAAAAGAACUAGAUGAAAAAUACUUGAAGAAAGAAAAACACUUAAUGAAAGACUUAAUAGAAAGCUUGAUUCAUGAAUUGAUGAAUUGAAAAACAAUGUAGCCUCUAUUUAUACUAGUAGCUUUACUAAAUUAGGAGCCAACUAGUAUAGAAAAUCAAGGAAAAUAUUCUAUAAUAUAAAAAAUAUCCCAAAAUAAUCUCCCACUAAGUCAACAAUUUCAGAUAAUUGUUCUUGGAAAAAUUCUGCUUUGGCCCUCAUUCUUUGCUUCUUUCUUCAAUCUAGCCCAAUUGUUUCAUUUUUCUUCUAUUUAGCCCCAAAUUGCAUUCCUGCACAAAAUUCAAUAAAUAUGGCAAAAUUCGUGGUGCAUUCUCAUAAAUUAACCCAUUUAAUUACAUAAAAUAUGUAACUUUAGCAUUUAAUCAGCCUCUUACCAGAACAUCAAUGGAUGUUAGUGUAAAGAGAUGGAGCAUGAUACGCCCUGCUCAAGAUACUCCUAAAGAAAGGCAAUGGAUUUCAAAUCUGGACUUGGUGAUGCCAACAGACCAUGUCCCUUUACUGUUUUUCUACAAACCUAAUGGCUCAUCUGACUACUCCAAGCCUCAAGUGCUACAGGAGGCUUUAAGCAAGACUCUUGUGCAAUUCUAUCCUAUGGCUGGGAGGUUGGGACGUGAUGAAAAUGGUAGGCUCGAGAUAUUAUGCAACGCAGAGGGUGUUCUGUGGAUAGAAGCUGAAACUACAUCGGCUAUGGAUGAUCUCGACGAUUUUACUCCCUGCUCAAAACUGACGAAACUGGUUCCCAAGGCUGAUUACUUUGGAGAUAUCAGUUCUUAUCCGCUUAUUAUGGCUCAGGUAAGUGAAUGAAGGACUAUUAUCUUAUUAUAGAUGAUAACUGUUACUUGCAGUAGGAGACCAAGGAUAAGAUCUGAGAAAACUCAAACAGCCUGAUACUGAAGUUAAAGCACAAGAAAAACUAAGCUAUCAGCUAAGAAGUUGAUAUAUGGCCUUUUUUUCAAAAAUUGAGUUAAAAAGAAUCGAUUAAUUAUGAAAAUACCCAGGUAUAAAAUCUUAUACGAGAAUGACCCAUUUUCUACGGUAAAAAUUGGUACCGCGAGACUAAUUAGCGGUACCGAUAUUUUUGUAAAAAGUAUUACCAUCAACAAAGUAUCAAUACUUUCUAUUCAUCUUCACAAGAAAGUGCUAAUUACGGAGGUUCAUAGUGGUGGCUUAGUAGUGAAGAAGAUGAAACCAAAACCCUUUUCUCUUCAAUGAACCUUUGGUUUGACUCAUUUGUAAUAAUCAUUUUCGUUCGUCGAAUUUGACUGCAUUUUAAAUGGAAAACUAUAAUAAUCCUCACUGAAGAAAAGCUAAGAACAAGAUUAGUCAAAGCGAACAAGAUUAUUACAAAUGAGUCGGGCAAAAGGUUCAUUGAAGAGAAAAGGGUUUCGGUUUUCUCUUCUUCACUGCUAAGCCACCACCAUGGAACUUUUAGCACUUUCUCGUGAAGCUAAAUGAUACCAUCAACAAAGUAUUGAUCCUUUACCGAUGCCACCAAUGAGUCCAACAACAUUCAAAAUAAAUAUUUUUUUUUAAAAAAACAUGGGGUGGUGCCUUCAAUGGGAAUGGUGGCACCAAAUUUUAAGGUAGAAAAUGGGUCAUUCACGUACAAGAUUUUACACUUGAGUCAUUUUUAUAAUUAACCAAUUUUUUUGGUCAAUUUUGAAAAUAAAAAACUUUAAUACUUUUGUUUCAAAAAGGUCAAUUGUUGUGUGUUUAUUUUGCUAGGUAACUACUCUUAAAUACGGUGGAGUCUGUCUUGGAAUAGCAACUCAUCAUACUUUGACUGAUGGCACAACGGCCUUUCAUUUCAUCAGUAGUUGGUCUGAAAUGGCAAGAGGCUUGCCCCAAAUUAGUAUGCCACCACUUAUUGACCGAACCCUUCUCCGAGCAAGAGUGCCACCAAUCCCUAUAUUUCAUCAUCUCGAAUGUAACCCACCUCCUUUCUUAAACACCUCUACGUCACUAGGCCCUAAUAACCAUAAACCCUCAACUGUAUCUGUUUUCAAGAUCAUACAAAAUCAACUUAAUACCCUAAAAGCCAAGUCAUGGGAACAUGGAAACAAAACCAAUUGCAGCACCUACACCAUUCUAGCUGCAUACAUAUGACGCUGUGCAACUAAAGCUCGGGGCCUCUCAUAUGACCAAAAAACCAAGUUAGACAUGCCAAUUAAUGGACGUCCCAGACUACAUCCUCCCCUCUCAUCAACGUACGUGGGCAAUGCAACGUUUGCGGGUUCAUUAAUUACUCUAUCUAGAAAUCUCCAAUUAGAACCGUUUGUAAAUACCCUAGAACGAGUUCAUGAAACAUUGAAAAGGAUGAAUAAUGAGUAUCUAAGAUCAGCUCUUGACUACCUAGAAACACUGCCAGAUAUAACAGUUGCCAAGAGAAAACUGGACACUUACCAGUGCCCAAACCUAAAUAUCAACAAAUGGACACGACUGUCUAUAUAUGAUAUAGAUUUUGGAUGGGGUCGACCAAUAUACAUGGGUCCAGCAAAUGUUGUCCAUGAAGGAAAAAUAUACAUACUACCAAGUCCAACCGAUGAUGGGAGCUUGUCACUGGUAGCAUGCCUGCAAACUGCUCAUAUGAAACUCUUUGGGAAACAUCUAUACGAAGGCUUGAAGUCAUUUGACAAGAUCAAAGCUCGAUAUUAGUUGUUUGUUCUCUCUAUCAAUAUAUGUAUAAACCUAUAAAUCUUUUACUUCUGUUUCUGUAACUAAGACUUUUUGUUUGGAUCCUGUUUAUUUGAAAUUUACCAUCUGGCCUGGCGGAUAGGUCUUUUGGUAAUUAUUAUACUAUACUUCAAUAAUAGUAGUAGUAUUGAUCACAAAAAAAUAAUAAAGAAAAAUUAGAAUACACAGAUUUUACGUGAAAAAGUCUUAUUAGGAAAAAAAAUCAUGAACAGAGGAGAAAUUCACUAAUGUUUGAAAACAACAAUGCAAGAGGUUUUUUUGACUACACGUUUAAACGGUUAAAUAACAUUUUUAUAAUCAACGUCUAAUAGAAGAUCGCCCCCACAUAUCCCCCAAAUUUGCAAUUCUAUUUUAUUUUUUUAACAAAUAAGUUGCACCUUGAAGUUUUCUGACUGGAUCAAACGAGAUCAAACAACUCUGGCAACACCUCAAAUUAUUUGUCCAUAACCAUAUUAAAUCAAAUACCAAAUAAUUGAAAUAUAUUCAAAAUUUUAAAUUAAAUUAAGUUUGGAUCAAACUCACUGAUGAUAUAUGAUUUACCUAAAGUGAAAUAAGAACCUGAAAAUACCAAAUUUAUGGGUAAAUUUUCGUUUUGGUCACUUAAUUAAAAAAUUAUAAUUUGGUUAUUGAACUAUUCAAAAGUUUUCUUUUAAGUCAUUGGAUUGUUAAAAUUGAUGUUAUAUGACUCUCUGUUUGCAGUGCAUGCAUCAAUUGAAAGCUCUCUUUUUCCUUCACUUCUACAGUUCAUUUUCUAUUUUUAUGUAACAACUUUGGACGUCACAAAUCUGCAAACUAAAAUUCAAACAUUUUUUGCUUUGAUUUCCAACAUUGACCAUCAAAUCAAUUUAGAUCUAAGGUAUGUUUUUCUACACAUUAAUGGGUACCGAUCCAUCGUAUCUAUUGUUGAAUCCUUACAUGGAGCUCGUUAGUGGAACUUAAAAAACAACUUAACAGCCUAGUGAUUUAAAUGAAAAUUUUCGUAUUUAGUGACCAAACCAAAAACUUUCCCAUAAUUUAAUGACUAAUGGUGUAGUUUAUGCACUUCCUCUUGCCCCAAUUGAAGUUUUUGGUACUCCCAAACACUAGUAAAAAAGUUUUAAUAGUAUAAAUGUAUGAAAUUUUUAAUAGAAAGUACCAUUUUACUUUUUGAUCUAUAUAGAGAUACUGAUUUGUCAAUUUUUUAAAUAAAUGGGACAAAAUGCAAUUUGACAUCUAAUAUAAAAAUCUCCACGACGUGAUAAGUGCUUUCGAAACUGGAUUAGAUCAAAUCGAAAAUUAAUUAAUGUAUCAGUUUGAAAUAAGGGGAUUAAUUAUCUCACAAAUUGGUUAAAUCGACCAAUCAGACCACUGUUUUUCAAUUUUCAAUUUUGUAAUAAUUUAUUUAAUUAAAUUAAUCAAAUCAAUCAAAUCGGAAUUAGAAUCUAAUUCUAAACACUUUGCUUUGUUAUGUCAAAGCCACUUGUUUUUUUUACACCUGAUUUAGUCUACCAAUUACUGUCCACGCGUGUCAACUCUUUAUCAUCUUUUAAUGACGUGUACGGUAUAGAUAGCUUGUCUUCAAUUUUUUUAUUUGCCAAAUUCAGUUAUUAGUCCCUGUAUUAUAAGUAGUUUGAAAAUUUAAUCUCUAUAUUAAAAAAAUAGUCAAUUUCAGUCCUUAUAUUUUUUAGCAUUUAAAAUUUUAAUCCUCCACAAAGAGUAGUGUAACACCCCUUACCCGUAUCCAACACCGGAAUAGGGUACGAGGCAAUACCAGAACACAUACACUUGUAAACAUAUUUAACCGAGUUAUAAAAUUUCAUCUAAAUUAAAACUUUCAAAAUUAUUAACAUGCUUUUAUAACUCUUCACAAUAUAUCCUCAAAAUAUUAUAAUCUUAAUAAAUAGAGUCUACGAGACCCGAUACAUACUCAUACAAUUCAAUGCUUCAUUUCCAUUUCAUUCAAUUCGUAAUUUCUCAUGCUCACAAUUUAGAUCAUAUCACCAGCAAUUUCCAUUUAAUUCAUGUACAAUUCAAUGUCACUAAGUUUAACACUAAUACGUAUUUACCAUUUAACUCAACGUUUAUCGGUUAUACCAUUCAUUAACACAUUUAUGAAAUUCUCAAUUUUGCAAUGAAGAUAUCACUUUAGCUUAAAUAACAACAUCAUCCUGGUAUAAAUACACUACCACUUAUCCAUUUGCUUUAAUUCUUUUGGGCCCAUUUGUCACUUACCAUCCUUAAUCAAAUUAGGGAAUGGUUACAGAAAAUUGAGUACUUCACUUCCACUUUGCCAUAGUAUAACUGUGGUCUUACUUAUGAUCAGUUAUCACUUGUCCCUGAUCAGAUAAGUGUAGCUAGGCUACCACUUAUCACUUUGUCACUUGAUCAGAUAAGUGUAGCUAAAGCUACCACUUUUCACUUUGUCACCACUUAUCACUUGUUCCUGAUCAAAUAAGUGUAGCUAGGCUACCACUUAUCACUUUGUCACUUGAUUAGAUAAGCGUAGCGAAAGCUACCACUUAUCACUUUGUCACCAUUUAUCACUUGUUCCUGAUCAGAUAAGUGUAGUUAAAGCUACCACUUAUCAUUUUGUCACUUGAUCAGAUAAGUGUAGUUAAAGCUACCACUUAUCACUUUGUCACUUGAUCAGAUAAUUGUAGCUAGGCUAUCACUUAUCACUUUGUCACUUAAUCAGAAGUACUCAAACCCGGCGUUCCGCUCAAUUUGAUCAUUUAUUCAGUUUUCGCAUUUUUAUUUUAUUCUCAUUUCAUCAAUAAAUAUAUAUUUCAUCAUACAUUAUAUAAUUCAUGAAAUUAACAUUUAAUCAUUAAAUUUCAAUCAUAUGAACUUACCAGGCUAAUUUGCAGAAAUACCAAGAUACAAGGGCAUUUUGAUAAUUUUCCAUUUUCUCAAUUUUCUACCCGAUAUUGAUCUAAAUUAAUUUUUCAUUUAAUAAAACAACUCAUUUCAUGCAAUUUGGUCAUUUUUUACAUUUUUCCAAAAUUACCCCUAAAGUUUUACUUUUAUUCAAUUUAGUCCUCGAGCCCAAAUCAUGCAAAUUAACCAUUUUAAAUGCAAAUCCAUGCUAGCAUAAUAUUCAUAAAUUUAUUUUCCUCCUCCUCCUCUCCAUUCCACAUCCUUAAUUUACAAACAUGCUUAUAAGUAACAUUAUCUAUAAUUUCACUAUUUUCUUGUAAAUUUAUUCAAAGCUGUCCAUUUGAGUCAUAGUCGCUAAAUCAUUUAUAUCUUGAGCUACAGAAAUCCAAAUUAAGAUCCGUUAAUUUUUCCUGAAACUAGACUCACAUAUCUUCUUCCCAUAAAAUUUUCAGAAUUUUUGGUUCAGCCAAAUAGUACAGUUUAUUCUUUAAAGUUUCCCCUAUUUUGCUGUCUGACAGUUCUGACCACUCUACACUAAAAAUGAAUUAUCUAAUUGUACAGAAUUUGGAUGAUGUUUUAGUUUAUUUAAUUUGAAAAUAUAUUCAUUAAGGAUUCUAAUCAUAUAAAUUAUAACUCAUAAUUAUUUUUCUUCAAUUUUUGAUGAUUUUCCAAAGUCAGAACAGGGGAACCCGAAAUCAUUCUGACAUUGUCUCACAAAAUUUAUUAUAUCGCAUGAUUUACAAUUAUAUUGCUUACACCAUUUCUUCUAUGAGAAACUAGGCUCAAUAAGCUUUAAUUUCAUAUUUUAUUUAUCUUCUAAUUAAAUUCCCACAAUUUUUGGUGAUUUUUCAAAGUUAACCUACUGCUGCUGUCCAAACUGUUUUAGUGCAAAAUAUCGAUUAUUAAGUUUAUAACACUCUUAUUUUCUUUCUCUACACUAUUUCUCUCUUCACUAACAUACCAAGAACAUAAAAUCUUAUAUAAUAAAACUCUACAUUAACAUCAAUUUCAUACCUUUUCAAUAAUAUCAAACUAAAAAAUAUAUUGAAAUCUUGAUGUUCUUACCUUGCUUAAUUGAUUUCAAUCUUUAACUUGAUAUUCUCUCUCCUCCAGCUUCUAUUUCUUGAAUCUAACUUGAUAUUCUAGCUCCCCAUAGUCUCCUUGUUAUCUUUCUCUCUUGAUGGAUAUGGAAAUUCUUUUGAUUUCUAAGUGAAAAUGGUAAAUUUUUGGUAAAAGGACUAAAUUAUAAAGAAAAGAAAGUUUCUUUCUUUCUUUCCUCUUCAUACGUUGGUUGCAUGGGGAAGAAGAUGAUAAUUCCUCAUGUUUCCUUUUAUAUAUAUACUAAAUAGAAUAAUAAUAAAUUAAUAAAAUAUCAUUUAAAAAUCAUAUUAAAAUAUUAAUAAACUAAUAUUUAUUUAAUUAAUUAAUCUAAAAUAUCACCAACAUCAUCAUUGCCUUCUAGAUUUCUCUCUCUUCUAAUUGGCCAUUUUUCCCUUCAUAAUCUUUUAAAAUUCCAUCAUUGAGUCACACUUAAUUUGGUAAAAUUACGAUUUAGUCCCUCAUAAUUCUUAUUUUAUUCAAUUUGGUCCUAAUUCAUCCAUUUUCCUUAGUUUCUAGAUCAUUCCACCCUUAAAAUAUUUACAUCUUUGGUCCUUCAACUUUUUCAUAUUUACACUUUAACCCCUCAAAUUUUGAGUAUUUACUCUUGGGCAACAAUACUUUUCUCACUUUUGCGAUUUAAUCCUUCCUUGCAUUAAUAUGUCAUAAUAUACUUCUCAAUGUUGACAUAUCUCAAAAUUUCCCUUUUUUUUUUUUUACUUUAUUUCCUUAUUUUACUUUACCAAGAAUAAUAUCUUACUGUAGAAAUUUUCAAAAUAUUACAUUUGUGGUCCCGAAACCACUAUUUCGACUAGGCCCAAAUUCGGGCUAUUACAAGUAGUAAUUAAAUAUGUUUGUUAAUUUAUGUCGUUAAUCUUUUACACAGUAUAAAGUUAUUCCACGUUCUUUAAUUUGAUCAUUCAUAAUCCUUAUAUUUUUUGAAUUUUUAAAUUUUAAUAAGCUGACAUAAUAUUACAUAUAUGAUAAUAUUUUUGACGUAUAAGAUUUUGAAAAUAAUAAAACUUAAUGAAUUUAAUGGUUAUCGUUUAGAUCAAGAUUGGAAUUUCAAAAUUAGAAAAAUAUACGGACUAAAAUGAUUAAAUUAAAGUACAUAGACUAAAUUUACAACUUUCCCAUUGCAUAAGUACUAAUAGCAGGAUUUAACCUAUUUUUACAUUUAAAUAUGUAAAAAUAUCACCCAUCCACUACCUCCCAACAGAGAAGAUAAGCUUUUUUUUAGCAAUAAAAGAAAUAAUAAUUACCUGAUAAAUUAUUUUAUGGACAUUUUUCACCAUAUCUUCCAUGAUCCCGUCCAAUUAGAAGAUGCCACAUCAUCUUUUUUUCCACAUCAUAUGUACAUUCAGACUAAACUUCCAAAUCAAAGAUGACGUGUCUUGUUUUAAUUGGUAGAAACUAUGGAUGGUCGGGUGGAAAAUGUCCAUAAAAUAAUUUCUCAUUAUUACCUUGUCUUCGAACACAAAAACACAAACAUUAGCAAACAGAUUUUGCCCAUCCGCUACCUCCCAAUAGACAAGAUAGGUUAUUUUUAAUUAACUCAAUUUUUUUGAUUAAUUACGAAAAUAAUCAACUUAAAAAUUACGUACGUAAAUGAUUGAUUUUUACAGUGCUUGUCGAUGCUGCCAGACACAUCGGCAGCACCGGUCUCAUCAUCGACCAAUAAUUGUAUUAUUUUAAACAUUUUCAGUUCAUUCCCUAGCAUAUUUAAAUUUAUAUAAAUUGAGAUAAUUUUUUGAAGGAUAUAUUUGGGUAAUUUAAAUAAGACUUUUAACUUUAUUGUUUCUAAAAAAAUAAAAAGAAUUUAUUUUUGUUAUUCUUAUAUUUUUAAGGGCUAUUUAAAUAUAAUUUUAAAAAUAGAUAUACUUAACACGCAAAUAAAUAAAAAAUUGAAAAGCAUCAAAUUUGGUGCCGACAUGGUGCACUAAAAAGUUAUUAUUUUCUGGGUAAAUUACAGCAAUAGUCACUUUUAUUUACCUCAUAUUAUAUUUUAGUUAUUUAUAUUUAAAAUAUUACAUUUUAGUCACUUACAUUAUUAUUUUGUUAUUAAGUGGUCACUCCACCGUCAAACUUCGUUACUUCUCUAACGGUAGUCCUACGUGACAGUACAAAUUGAUUUUAAAUGCCAACUGGCAACUACGAUGUCCAAUUGUUGGGACAAAAAAAGGUUUUUAAUUAAAUAAAUUUAAUUUGAACUGCCACGUAGGACCGUCAUUAGGGAGGUAAGAGAGUUUAAUGAUAAAGUGACCAAUUCGUAAUAAAACGAUAAUAUAAGUGACUAAGACAUAAUAUUUUAAACUUAGGUGAAUAAAAUAUAAUCUGAAGCAAAUAAAAAUGACUGAUUUAUAGUUUACCCAUAAUGUAGUUAUUGGCGGAUGACCCGGCCGCACCAACAAACAGCAGAAAUAGAGUCAUUUUCGUAAUUAUUCACAAAAUUUGGGUUACUUUUGUAAAAAAAACCCGAGAAGAGAACCUCGCCCUUGCUUAAGAUAGACGGACACUUUCUGACUUUCCCUUCUGUCAGUUUUUCAUCAACAGCUUUGCCUCUUACCAAAACAUCAAUGGAUGUUAGUGUAAAGAGAUGGAGCAUGAUACGCCCUGCUCAAGAUACUCCUAAAGAAAGGCAAUGGAUUUCAAAUCUGGACUUGGUGAUGCCAACAGACCAUGUCCCUUUACUGUUUUUCUACAAACCUAAUGGCUCCUCUGACUUCUUCAAGCCUCAAGUGCUACAGGAGGCUUUAAGCAAGACUCUUGUGCAAUUCUAUCCUAUGGCUGGGAGGUUGGGACGUGAUGAAAAUGGUAGGCUCGAGAUAUUAUGCAACGCAGAGGGUGUUCUGUGGAUAGAAGCUGAAACUACAUCGGCCAUGGAUGAUCUCGACGGUUUUACUCCCUGCUCAAAACUGAGGAAACUGGUUCCCACGGCUGAUUACUCUGGAGAUAUCAGUUCUUAUCCGCUUAUUAUGGCUCAGGUAAGUGAAAGAAGAACUAUUAUCUUAUUAUAGAUGAUAAGUGUUACUUGCAGUAGGAGACCAAGGAUAAGCUCUGAGAAAACUCAAACAGCCUGAUACUGAAGUUAAAGCACAAGAAAAACUAAGCUAUCAGCUAAGAAGUUGAUAUAUGGCCUUUUUUUUUUUUCUUUCAAAACUUGACUUAAAAAGAAUCGAUUAAUUAUGAAAAUACCCAGGUAUAAGAUCUUAUACGAGGAUGACCCGUUUUCUACGGUAAAAAUUGGUACCGCUAGACUAAUUAGCGGUACCGAUAUUUUUGUAAAAAGUAUUACCAUCAACAAAGUAUCGAUACUUUCCAUUCAUCUUCACAAGAAAGUGCUAAUUACGGAGGUCCAUGGUGGUGGCUUAGUAGCGAGGAAGAUGAAACCAAAACCCUUUCUUUUCAAUGAACCUUUGGUUUGACUCAUUUGUAAUAAUCAUUUUCGUUCGUCGAAUUUGACUGCAUUUUAAAUGGAAAACUGUAAUAAUCCUCACUGAAGAAAAGCUAAGAACAAGAUUAGUCAAAGCGAACAAGGUUAUUACAAAUGAGUCGGGCAAGAGGUUCAUUGAAGAGAAAAGGGUUUCGGUUUUAUCUUCUUUACUGCUAGGCCACCACCAUGGAACUUUUAGCACUUUCUCGUGAAGCUAAAUGAUACCAUCCACAAAGUAUUGAUCCUUUAUCGAUGCCACCAAUGAGUCCAACAACAUUCAAAAUAAAUAUUUUUUAAAAAAAACAUAGGGUGGUGCCUUCAAUGGGAAUGGUGGCACCAAAUUUUAAGGUAGAAAAUGGGUCAUUCUCGUACAAGAUUUUACACUUGAGUCAUUUUUAUAAUUAACCAAUUUUUUUGGUCAAUUUUGAAAAUAAAAAACUUUAAUAUUUUUGUUUCAAAAAGGUCAAUUGUUGUGUGUAUAUUUUGCUAGGUAACUACUCUUAAAUGCGGUGGAGUCUGUCUUGGAAUAGCAACUCAUCAUACUUUGACUGAUGGCACAACGGCCUUUCAUUUCAUCAGUAGUUGGUCUGAAAUGGCAAGAGGCUUGCCCCAAAUUAGCAUGCCACCACUUAUUGACCGAACCCUUCUCCGAGCAAGAGUGCCACCAAUCCCUAGAUUUCAUCAUCUCGAAUGUGACCCACCUCCUUCCUUAAACACCUCUACGUCACUUGGCCCUAAUAACCAUAAACCCUCAACUGUAUCUGUUUUCAAGAUCACACAAAAUCAACUUAAUACCCUAAAAGCCAAGUCAUGGGAACAUGGAAACAAAACCAAUUACAGCACCAACACCAUUCUAGCUGCAUACAUAUGGCGCUGUGCAACUAAAGCUCGGGGCCUCUCAUAUGACCAACCAACCAAGUUAGACAUGCCAA
rnacentral:lncRNA from 1 species